rnacentral:tRNA from 1 species
GCCGAAGUGGCGGAAUUGGUAGACGCGCUAGUUUCAGGGACUAGUAAACGUAUGUUUGUGGGAGUUCGACUCUCCCCUUCGGCACCA